AAAUGAAGCCAACUCCACCCAUACCUGAAGUACCAUCUGUGAAGCGUGCCCGGUCUUCAUCUCGACCUACCACAUUGAAGAGGAAGGGGCUAAUGGAUGAUUCAAUGGUUUUGCAUGGCGAUACUAUACGCCAACAGUUGACUAACACUGAGGACAUACGUCGCAUGCGUAAAAAGGCGCCCUGUACACGCACAGAAAUUUUGAUGAUUCAGAGGCAAUUCUGGGAAGAGGAACUCUUUAGUGAACCAGUAUUAA
rnacentral:misc_RNA from 1 species